rnacentral:rRNA from 1 species
AGUGAACGCUGGCGGUAGGCCUAACACAUGCAAGUCGAACGGCAGCACAGUAAGAGCUUGCUCUUACGGGUGGCGAGUGGCGGACGGGUGAGGAAUACAUCGGAAUCUACUUUUUCGUGGGGGAUAACGUAGGGAAACUUACGCUAAUACCGCAUACGACCUACGGGUGAAAGCAGGGGAUCUUCGGACCUUGCGCGAUUGAAUGAGCCGAUGUCGGAUUAGCUAGUUGGCGGGGUAAAGGCCCACCAAGGCGACGAUCCGUAGCUGGUCUGAGAGGAUGAACAGGCACACUGGAAAUGGGAAAAGGGCCAAAAUCCUAAGGGAAGGAGCAAGUGGGAAAAAUGGGAAAAGGGCGGAAGCCUUGACCAACCAAUACGCGUGGGGGAAAAAAGCCUUCGGGGUGGAAAAGCCCUUUGGUGGGAAAGAAAAGGAAGAAGGUAAAAACCCGCUGGUCUGAAGGGAACCAAAGAAUAAGCAACGGCUAAAUUCGGU